ACGGACCCACAACACUCACCACGAACCCACAACACGGACCCACACGCUCACCACUAAACCCACAAAACUCACCUCGUCAAAAGUUUCUCUAGGAUGGCUUCAACAGAAGUUGUUUGAAAAACGACGAUGAUGAAGCUGAGUCAGCUGACGUUUAAGAACCUGCCGACUCCUUCACGCCAGUCUCGUACCGAGGGAGCGCGUGAUGAUUGCAGCGUCACCGGUGAUGUCAGAGUCCGAGUGACGUGACCACGCCCCCUUCAGCCACACCCCUCCGAGUGACGUGGCAAUGCGAGACCACGCCCCCGGAAGCCGCCUUCCGCCCCGAGUCUAUGGGCGCCCCCCCCCACCUCCACCCCCAACUUCUACUUCCGCUUCCGGUCGUGGCGAAUUGCGGCGAUGGCGGGAAAAAUCUGAACCCUGACUGGGCCUCCUCGUGGUCGACUCAGCCUGAAGAUGCCGACACGGGGCUCUGUGUGAGCAGAAGUUGUUUGAAAGGCGACGAUGAUGAAGCUGAAGCAGCUGAAGUUUGAGAAGCUGCCGUCUCCUUCACGUCUCGUACUCUGAGGAAGCACGUGGUGAUUGCGACGUCACCGGUGAUGUCACAGUGCGAGGGACGUGACCACGCCCCCUUCAGCCACGCCCCUCCGAGUGACGUGACAGUGCGAGACCACACCCCUGGAAGCCGCCUCCCGCCCCUCCUUAUUGGGCGUCCCCCCCACCUCCACCCCCAGCUUCGACUUCCGCUUCCGGUCGAGGCGAAUGGCGGCGAUGGCGGGAAAAUUCUGAACCCUGUCUGGGGCUCCUCGAGGUCGACUCAGCCUGAAGAUGCCGAUACGGGGCUCUGUGUGAGAAGUUGUUUGAAAGGCGACGAUGAUGAAGCUGAAGCAGCUGAAGUUUGAGAAGCUGCCGUCUCCUUCACGUCUCGUACUCUGAGGAAGCACGUGGUGAUUGCGACGUCACCGGUGAUGUCACAGUGCGAGGGACGUGACCACGCCCCCUUCAGCCACGCCCCUCCGAGUGACGUGACAGUGCGAGACCACACCCCCGGAAGCCGCCUCCCGCCCCUCCUUUUUGGGCGUCCCCCCCACCUCCACCCCCAGCUUCGACUUCCGCUUCCGGUCGAGGCGAAUGGCGGCGAUGGCGGGAAAAUUCUGAACCCUGUCUGGGGCUCCUCGAGGUCGACUCAGCCUGAAGAUGCCGAUACGGGGCUCUGUGUGAGGUGAGUUUGUGGGUGUCUGUGUGAGGU